CUGUCCUGCACUUGGUGCAUUCAUAUGGUUUUUCUCCAGCAGAAACUUUCUUGUGCAGGAACUGAUGAGAAAGAAAUGAGUUCAUUAAAAACCAAGGGAAGGAAUGAUGCCAUCCUCACCUACUGAGGCCAGGUUCCGGAAGGUCUCCAGCAUCACAUCUCUGUAGAGGUCCCUCUGAGCAGAAUCCAGCAAAGCCCACUCCUCCAGGGUGAAGUCCACAGCCACAUCCUCAAAGACCACUGAGUCCUAAGACAAACCACACAGGUGUGCAGGAGGAUUGGAGACACUGAAAGUACUGGGGAACUGGACUCAAUUCAUAAAUUCAAACAAGAUUCUGUGGUGUCCCAACACCUCCUCUAUGACGCGAAUGUUAGAUCUUUUACUUAUUCACAAUCACUUCCUAGUAAACUUCAUGGCACCACUAUCAGUCUGAACUUAUCUCUGCCUUUUUACUGCGACUGCUCUUAUUUUCCUCUACCAGGAGGGUCUAGAGAAAUGCUAUGCAAAUGAAGUAACUUUUCCAUUUGAAACGUUGCAUAACGCAGCAGGCCUCGGUUGUCCAAACGAUGCACAUUUCAUAGGACUUUCGGAAAAGCCUUCCACCAGCUACUGCAGAAAAUGGUAAGUCCUUGGAAUCCCCUGCCUGGUGAGGGGAUCUUUGUAUGGACGGGCCUGAGGCUGGCCAGGGAGUUUCUAACAAUGUGACUUAAGAAUUCCUGUCUUUGUCUGCCUGGAGCCCUAGGCAACAUUGUAUCCGUUUUCCCCCUUUAUUCCCCUUUAUUUUCUUAAAUUAUUUUAAAGGCAACUGUAUGAAUAUGUUUGGAAAGCACUGUUGGAUGUAUAACACAUAAGAAUACCUAUUUGCCAAUAACAGCACAGAGGAGGAGGGUGGGAGGGAGCAAAGGCAUAUUUAAGCAAAGGGACAUGACUACAGAUGGUAAAGUACUAAUUAAAACGCACUGUUUUGGCAUAUAAUAUUCAUGGAUGUAGCAUGUAUUCAUAUUGCCAUAGAAGUUGGAGGGGCAGGAAGGAAUAGAGCUACACACGCAGCAUUUCUGUAUCUCACUGGAAUCGAGCGAUGAAUAUAAACCCGAAGCUCAUCUGAUAAGCCUCGCAUUGACAAUACAGUAACCCCUAAAGAGACCAACAAACAGUAAAAAGUUAAACAACUGAAAGGUUUCAUUAGAAAAUACUUAAUGAAAAUGAAAGUAGUGGCCGGGUGCAGUGGCUCACGCCUGUAAUCCCAGCACUUUGGGAGGCCGAGG
rnacentral:lncRNA from 1 species